GACGAACGCUGGCGGCGUGCUUAACACAUGCCAGUCGAACGGUGAAGCGCCUUCCUUUUUGGUGGGUGUGGAUGAGUGGCGAACGGGUGAGUAACACGUGAGUAACCCGCCCCCUUCUUCUGUAUAACCGCAUGAAAGUGUGGCUAAUACGGGAUAUUCUGGGUCUGUCGCAUGAUGGGUCUGGGAAAGAUAUUGUUUCGGUGGGGGAUGGGCUCGCGGCCUAUCAGCUUGUUGGUGGGGUGAUGGCCUACCAAGGCGGUGACGGGUAGCCGGCCUGAGAGGGUGGACGGUCACACUGGGACUGAGACACGGCCCAGACUCCUACGGGAGGCAGCAGUGGGGAAUAUUGCACAAUGGGCGCAAGCCUGAUGCAGCGACGCCGCGUGAGGGAUGGAGGCCUUCGGGUUGUGAACCUCUUUCGCCAGUGAAGCAGGCCUGCCUCGUUUGUGGGUGGGUUGACGGUAGCUGGAUAAGAAGCGCCGGCUAACUACGUG
rnacentral:rRNA from 1 species